GCGUUGGUAGUGCAACAAUUUAACACGUGCUCCCGGAAAGAGUAGGAUCUGGGUUCAAAUCCCGGCUGACGCA